CGAACGGGUGAGUAACGCGUGAGGAACCUGCCUCAAAGAGGGGGACAACAGUUAGAAAUGACUGCUAAUACCGCAUAAGCGCACAGUAUCGCAUGAUACCGUGUGAAAAACUCCGGUGGUACAAGAUGGACCCGCGUCUGAUUAGCUAGUUGGUAAGGUAACGGCUUACCAAGGCGACGAUCAGUAGCCGACCUGAGAGGGUGACCGGCCACAUUGGGACUGAGACACGGCCCAA
rnacentral:rRNA from 1 species